CAUCUUUUUCCAUAUUACUCUCACUGCACCACUUGGACUGAUCGGAAAGAGAAUUAUCGGUAUACAGCAUCAAGCACACGCUGCCUCAGCCAUGCUGUCUAUUGAACUGCUCUCACACGGCAAACGCUUCAAAGCCUUUUCUGUACGGACCUCGCGGUUCAGAAACAGUUUCAUCCCAAGAACUAUAAAUGCACUCAAUCAGUCCAUCAAGUGCCCCUUAUAGAACUGUUUGUAUUUAUAAGUACAAUUACCUCACUGUAAACUUGCAAUACAGUUAUAAUAUUGCACAACCUGAGCCACUUUAUAAAGCGCGUAUUUACAUAUGA